GCAGCUACGUGUGCGUGUGCCCCGACGGCUUCGAGGAGACGGAAGACGCUUGUGUGCAGGCGCCUCAGCCAGCGGAGGCGGGCACAGAGGAAAGCCCAACACAGCCGCCCUCCCGCGAAGACCUGUGAGGAGCGUCCAGCCAGAAGCCAGACCCCCUUUAAGUUAUUUAGGCCGACGUCCUGGACGCACACCCUGAGCCUCGCCCGAGACUCCAGGCCCCGGAGAAGCUGCCUUCAAAACGGUUGAUGCUCAUUGGCCCUUUAAAAAGCUGCAUUUUUGGUUCUUCUUAAACAGAUUUGUCUAUUUUGAUACCGUUCUUUGUAAUAAAAUGAACCACUGAAGGUAGGCCUAGAA